rnacentral:scRNA from 1 species
AAGAAGGCCGGCUGCCAUACAUUCCGCCAUAG